CGGUUGAUCCUGCCGGACCCCACUACUUAACGGGUAAGCCCAAACCAUGCUAGAUUAACGCGCCCCUCAAUGUAAUGUUUGGCAGGGCGCAGCGUAGGGCUCAGUAACACGUGGCAAACCUACCCUUAGGACGGGAAUAACUCCGGGAAACUGGAGCUAAUUCCCGAUAGGUGAGGAUACCUGGAAUGGAUCCUCACCUAAGUAACCUUACGACCAUGCUUCGUAAGGUUGCCUAAGGAUGGUGCCGCGUCCGAUCAGGUUGUUGGUGAUGUAAUGGAUCACCAAGCCUAUAACCGGUACGGGCCAUGAGAGUGGUAGCCCGGAGAUGGGCACUGAGACAAGGGCCCAGGCCCUUAGGGGCGCAGCAGGUGCGAAACCUACGCAAUGCGCGAAAGCGCGACGUGGUUACCCGUUGUGCAAUCCUCUGAGGAUUGCUUUUGCCCAGCGUAAUGAGUUGGAGGAAUAAGGGGAGGGCAAGACUGGUGUCGGCCGCCGCGGUAAUACCAGCUCCCCAAGUGGUGGGGAUGAUUAUUGGGCUUAAAGCGUUCCUAUCCGGCCUGACAAGUCUCCCGUUAAAUCCAGCGACUUAUUCGCUGGGAAGCGGGAGAUACUGUCAGGCUAGUAGGCGGGAGAAGUCGACGGUAUUCACGGGGUAGGGGUGAAAUCCUAUAAUCCUGUGAGGACCACCAGUGGCGAAGGCGGUCGACUAGAACGCGCUAGACGGUGAUGGACGAAAGCUGGGGGAGCAAACCGGAUUAGAUACCCGGGUAGUCCCAGCGGUAAAAGAUGCGAGCUGGGUGUUGGAGCGGUUACGAACCGCUUCAGUGCCGCAUGGAAACAAAUAAGCUCGCCGCCUGGGAAGUACGGGCGCAAGCCUGAAACUUAAAGGAAUUGGCGGGGGAGCAC
rnacentral:rRNA from 1 species